ACGUCGGCCCACUGCGGAAUGGGUGCCACCUAACUAUGAUAUAGUUAUAGUAGUUCCACUCGAUGUGGAUCGCGCCCAUGCUUGCUCAGCUCCAGGAUUAGGCUCCUAAACCUAUUUUCAAUAAGUCAUCUGGUUUAUGUUGUUGGAGUUCCGCAUGACGCCUUAAUCCCACCUCUGUGUAGAUUCACGGAUCACCUAACUAAUAGUGCCAUAUUCACGGAUCAUCUGGUCUAUGUUGUUGGUUUUAUGCCUUGUUGGUCCUCUAGGCUAUUUAGUAGUUGA
rnacentral:rRNA from 1 species